CAGUCGCCGCGGGAAUACGAAGGGUGCAAGCGUUACUCGGGAUUACUGGGCGUAAAGCGUGCGUAGGUGGUGGUUUAAGUCCGUUGUGAAAGCCCUGGGCUCAACCUGGGAAUUGCAGUGGAUACUGGGUCACUAGAGUGUGGUAGAGGAUAGUGGAAUUUCCGGUGUAGCAGUGAAAUGCGUAGAGAUCGGAAGGAACAUCUGUGGCGAAGGCGACUAUCUGGGCCAACACUGACACUGAGGCACGAAAGCGUGGGGAGCAAACAGGAUUAGAUACCCCAGUAGUCCCUGUCUCUUAUAC
rnacentral:rRNA from 1 species